CACUCCUGCGGGAGGCAGCAGUGGGGAAUUUUGGACAAUGGGCGAAAGCCUGAUCCAGCAAUGCCGCGUGAGUGAAGAAGGCCUUCGGGUUGUAAAGCUCUUUUGUCAGGGAAGAAACGGUGAGAGCUAAUAUCUUUUGCUAAUGACGGUACCUGAAGAAUAAGCACCGGCUAACUACGUGCCAGCAGCCGCGGUAAUACGUAGGGUGCAAGCGUUAAUCGGAAUUACUGGGCGUAAAGCGUGCGCAGGCGGUUUUGUAAGUCUGAUGUGAAAUCCCCGGGCUCAACCUGGGAAUUGCAUUGGAGACUGCAAGGCUAGAAUCUGGCAGAGGGGGGUAGAAUUCCACGUGUAGCAGUGAAAUGCGUAGAUAUGUGGAGGAACACCGAUGGCGAAGGCAGCCCCCUGGGUCAAGAUUGACGCUCAUGCACGAAAGCGUGGGGAGCAAACAGGAUUAGAAACCCCGGUAGUCCCAUGA
rnacentral:rRNA from 1 species